CGGGCAGCCGUGACCCUGCUGGAGUGCGGGGGGGACCUCCAGCCCCCCGGGGGGUCCCUGACGUUGCUGUGCCGCGCAUCUGGGUUCAGUUUCAGGAGUUUUGGAAUGUUCUGGAUCCGCCAGAGACCUGGGCAGACACUGGAAUACAUCGCCAGUAUCAACAGCAAUGGUGGCAGCACCCACUACGCGCCGUCGGUCAAGGGCCGGUUCACGAUCUCCAGGGACAACGGGCAGAGCUCGGUGACGCUGACCAUGAACAACCUCAAGGACGAGGAUUCCGCCGUUUAUUUCUGUGCCAAACGUACUACUAGUAGUUAUGAUGGUGCUGCUGCUUUUAGUGACGAUGGCCGUGGUGGAUCCAUCCCCAUCUGUGUGUCCUCACCUGUCCCCAAACCCAGACCCUUCCUUCAAAUUGUCCCCCGAACCUCAGCCCUUGACCCUUUGUCCCAAAUCUCCCCCAUUUGCCCCAAUGGUCAGCACUGA